CGCCGGAAGACCAAGGGUUCCUGUCCAACGUUAAUCGGGGCAGGGUGAGUCGACCCCUAAGGCGAGGCCGAAAGGCGUAGUCGAUGGGAAACGGGUUAAUAUUCCCGUACUUGGUGUUACUGCGAAGGGGGGACGGAGAAGGCUAUGUUGGCCGGGCGACGGUUGUCCCGGUUUAAGCGUGUAGGUGUGUGUUCCAGGUAAAUCCGGUUCACUUUAACACUGAGGCGUGACGACGAGGCACUACGGUGCUGAAGCAACAAAUGCCCUGCUUCCAGGAAAAGCCUCUAAGCAUCAGGUAACAUCAAAUCGUACCCCAAACCGACACAGGUGGUCAGGUAGAGAAUACCAAGGCGCUUGAGAGAACUCGGGUGAAGGAACUAGGCAAAAUGGUGCCGUAACUUCGGGAGAAGGCACGCUGACACGUAGGUGAAGUGAUUUACUCACGGAGCUGAAGUCAGUCGAAGAUACCAGCUGGCUGCAACUGUUUAUUAAAAACACAGCACUGUGCAAACACGAAAGUGGACGUAUACGGUGUGACGCCUGCCCGGUGCCGGAAGGUUAAUUGAUGGGGUCAGCGCAAGCGAAGCUCCUGAUCGAAGCCCCGGUAAACGGCGGCCGUAACUAUAACGGUCCUAAGGUAGCGAAAUUCCUUGUCGGGUAAGUUCCGACCUGCACGAAUGGCGUAAUGAUGGCCAGGCUGUCUCCACCCGAGACUCAGUGAAAUUGAACUCGCUGUGAAGAUGCAGUGUACCCGCGGCAAGACGGAAAGACCCCGUGAACCUUUACUAUAGCUUGACACUGAACAUUGAGCCUUGAUGUGUAGGAUAGGUGGGAGGCUUUGAAGCGUGGACGCCAGUCUGCGUGGAGCCGACCUUGAAAUACCACCCUUUAAUGUUUGAUGUUCUAACGUGGACCCGUGAUCCGGGUUGCGGACAGUGUCUGGUGGGUAGUUUGACUGGGGCGGUCUCCUCCUAAAGAGUAACGGAGGAGCACGAAGGUUGGCUAAUCCUGGUCGGACAUCAGGAGGUUAGUGCAAUGGCAUAAGCCAGCUUGACUGCGAGCGUGACGGCGCGAGCAGGUGCGAAAGCAGGUCAUAGUGAUCCGGUGGUUCUGAAUGGAAGGGCCAUCGCUCAACGGAUAAAAGGUACUCCGGGGAUAACAGGCUGAUACCGCCCAAGAGUUCAUAUCGACGGCGGUGUUUGGCACCUCGAUGUCGGCUCAUCACAUCCUGGGGCUGAAGUAGGUCCCAAGGGUAUGGCUGUUCGCCAUUUAAAGUGGUACGCGAGCUGGGUUUAGAACGUCGUGAGACAGUUCGGUCCCUAUCUGCCGUGGGCGCUGGAGAACUGAGGGGGGCUGCUCCUAGUACGAGAGGACCGGAGUGGACGCAUCACUGGUGUUCGGGUUGUCAUGCCAAUGGCACUGCCCGGUAGCUAAAUGCGGAAGAGAUAAGUGCUGAAAGCAUCUAAGCACGAAACUUGCCCCGAG
rnacentral:rRNA from 1 species